rnacentral:rRNA from 1 species
CCUACGGGAGGCAGCAGUGGGGAAUAUUGGACAAUGGGCGCAAGCCUGAUCCAGCCAUACCGCGUGGGUGAAGAAGGCCUUCGGGUUGUAAAGCCCUUAUUGUUGGGAAAGAAAUCCUGUCGAUUAAAUACUCGGUGGGGAUGACGGUACCCAUAAGAAUAAGCACCGGCUAACUUCGUGCCAGCAGCCGCGGUAAUACGAAGGGUGCAAGCGUUACUCGGAAUUACUGGGCGUAAAGCG